GAUGAACGCUGGCGGCGUGCCUAAUACAUGCAAGUCGAGCGAACAGACGAGGAGCUUGCUCCUCUGACGUUAGCGGCGGACGGGUGAGUAACAUGUGGAUAACCUACCUAUAAGACUGGGAUAACUUCGGGAAACCGGAGCUAAUACCGGAUAAUAUAUUGAACCGCAUGGUUCAAUAGUGAAAGACGGUUUUGCUGUCACUUAUAGAUGGAUCUGCGCCGCAUUAGCUAGUUGGUAAGGUAACGGCUUACCAAGGCAACGAUGCGUAGCCGACCUGAGAGGGUGAUCGGCCACACAGGACCUGAGACACGGUCCAGACUCCAACGGGAGGCACCAGUAGAGAAUCUUCCGCAAUGGGCGAAAGCCUGGCGGAGCAACGCCACGUGAGUGAUGAAAGUCUUCGUGUCGUAAAACACUGUUAUUAGCGAAGAACAAAUGCGUAAGUAACCAUGCAAGUCUCGACGAUACCUGAGCAGAAAGCCACGGCUAACUACGU
rnacentral:rRNA from 1 species